rnacentral:RNase_MRP_RNA from 2 species
UCCAUAAUCAAGGAAUUAUCGUCGAAGCCUACAAAAGGGCAUCUUUGCAGAUGUCAUUGUUUAUAAUUAUAGCUUUGGGGAAAGUCUCCUGUCACAGUAGCGGAAACGCAGCGAUCUAUCACUUAUUUCGUUUUUAAACAAUGUUUGAGCAAAACUCUGUUUGAGAAUCUGGAGGGACAAGGAUCUCGAAAAGCUUACACUUUUUUGUGGAUCUUGAAAUCGGACAAUGAAGGAAACGGUUCAGCAUAGGGUCUUCCCUAUCGAUAUCGAGUUUGGAUAGAGUUUGGUUGAUUGGUUAUUGUUCUUCAAUCCUUGAAUUUUCUUUUUUGUUUUGUUGCAGCAUCUUUUGUCAAUUCAUGAUACCCAUUUUUUUCUUACUACUCAAUUUUGAGUCGACAAUUUGCAAAAAAAAAACACCUUUGUGUCUUUUUUUUUGUGAAUUUGUUGGGCUUCUGUUUCAAUUCUCAAUUGAAUCAGAAAAGCUCUGGUAUUGGUGGUUUCAAUGGUUGAUGCUUGUACUGCAAAAUCAAAGCAAUGGUUAUUUUUGGAGUGGGACAUACCGAUUUGACUUUCUGUCCUAUUUAACUCGUAUAUUGCUUGUGCCAACAUUUCUUUUCAGCUGUUUGUGUUUCUUGAUUAUGAGCUGAGAGGUAUAAUCUUUGCCUUCCAAUUUUCCUUGGACUCGAGUUUGUGGAAUUAGAUUCCAUGUGGAAGGCAUUUAGUUUUUAACGAAGUGCAGUCUACUGCUCAAUGUGUUUAUCAAUUCCCUGUCUAUUGGUAUUCAAUUCCAUACAGGAUGUACACUGUCGACAUUGGGGCUUUGUGUCCUGUACGAAAGUCAUGAUAAUUGAUUGAGAAGUUGUACAACUUUUCAAUUAACAGAAUGGAGCUUAGCCUUGUAUUAUGG